GCCGGCUUUUCUUUGCCUCUGCUGGAGUCCGGGGAGUGGCGUUGGCUGCUGGAGCGAUGCUGGGCCGGAGUCGCGUCGCCUUAGUCCUCCUGGCUGCCGCCGUCAGCUGUGCCGUCGCGCAGCACGCGCCGCCGUGGACAGAGGACUGCAGAAAAUCAACCUAUCCUCCUUCAGGACCAACGUACAGAGGUCCAGUUCCAUGGUACACCAUAAAUCUUGAUUUACCACCCUACAAAAGAUGGCAUGAAUUGAUGGUUGACAAGGCACCAAUGCUAAAGGUUAUAGUGAAUUCUCUGAAGAAUAUGAUAAAUACAUUCGUGCCAAGUGGAAAAAUUGUGCAGGUGGUGGAUGAAAAAUUGCCUGGCCUACUUGGCAACUUUCCUGGCCCUUUUGAAGAGGAAAUGAAGGGUAUUGCCGCUGUUACUGAUAUACCUUUAGGAGAGAUUAUUUCAUUCAAUAUUUUUUAUGAAUUAUUUACCAUUUGUACUUCAAUAGUAGCAGAAGACAAAAAAGGUCAUCUAAUACACGGGAGAAACAUGGAUUUUGGAGUAUUUCUUGGGUGGAACAUAAAUAAUGAUACCUGGGUCAUAACUGAGCAACUAAAACCUUUAACAGUGAAUUUGGACUUCCGAAGAAACAACAAAACUGUCUUCAAGGCUUCAAGCUUUGCUGGCUAUGUGGGCAUGUUAACAGGAUUCAAACCAGUAAGGAGUCUGUUGUUACAUAAUUAUACGGGUAGCUUUUUGUCCUAUUACUGUUACGUAAAAGUUGAAAUCUAAGAAUAUGAGGACCUAAAGGGAAUAUGAAGCCCCAUUUCACCCCCUUGUACUUCUUGUCAGUAUGAGAUCUCGUGGUAGAGAAGAGUAGAAAGGAAAUGGAGGUUUCUGAGCCUGUUCUGGGAUAAAGAGCAUGUGGCCGGGUGUCAAGGGCUCGGAGUCACAAUCUGAUUUCUAGUCCUGGGUCUUCCGCUCACUUAGGCAAGUCAGGCGUUCAUUCUCUGCCCUUCAGUUUCCUGUCCAAAAAGCGUUGCCAGUGGUACCCCACCUACUUAUCUCACAUACUACAAUCAAAAAUGCUUCGAACUUUUUAAAAAGCCUUGCAUGGUUUUGAUUUAUUUUUGCCUUCCCCAUUACCCAAGCUAGGCCUUUAUAUCCCACUCCGAAGUACAGUGAGCGACAGGGCCUUAAAGCGCAUGGUUGAUGUUUCUGACUUCGUUGCUUUGUCUUUUUCUCAGGGACUGUUCAGUCUUACACUGAAUGAACGUUUCAGUAUAAAUGGUGGUUAUCUGGGUAAGUAGAGCAUUCUCAAGUGAAAUGGGAAUCUCAGAGCUUUUUUAUGAGGAAGGCUGGACUGUGCCUUCUGGUUACAAAGUCCAACCUCUUCCGGUUCCCGACUGGUUACAAAGUCUAACCUCUUCUGGUUCCUGACUGGUUACAAAUUCCAACCUCUUCCGGUUCCCGACUGGUUACAAAGUCUAACCUCUUCUGGUUCCUGACUGGUUAUAUUAGUCCAGCCUCUUCCGGGUCCUGACUGGUUACAUAGUGUAACCUCUUCCGGUUCCUGACAUUGUGUUCAUCUCUUCCAGGUGUUCUAGAAUGGAUUUUGGGAAAGAAAGAUGCCAUGUGGAUAGGGUUCCUCACUAGAACAGUUCUGGAAAAUAGCACAAGUUAUGAAGAAGCCAAGAAUUUAUUGACCAAGACCAAGAUAUUGGCCCCAGCCUACUUUAUCCUGGGAGGCAACCAGUCGGGGGAAGGUUGUGUGAUUACACGAGACAGAAAGGAAUCAUUGGAUGUAUAUGAACUCGAUGCUAAGCAGGGUAGGUGGUAUGUGGUACAAACAAAUUAUGACCGUUGGAAACAUCCCUUCUUCCUUGAUGAUCGCAGAACGCCUGCCAAGAUGUGUCUGAACCGCACCACCCAAGAGAAUAUCUCAUUUGAAACCAUGUAUGAUGUCCUGUCAACAAAACCUGUCCUCAACAAGCUGACCGUAUUCACAACCUUGAUAGAUGUUACCAAAGGUCAAUUCGAAACUUACCUGCGGGACUGCCCUGACCCUUGUAUAGGGUGGUGAGCACACAUCUGGCCUACAGAAUGCGGCCUCUGAGACAUGAAGACACCAUCUCCAUGUGACCGAACACUGCAGCUGUCUGACCUUCCAAAGACUAAGACUCAGGGCAGGUUCUCUUUGAGUCACAAGCUUGUCUUCCUCCAUCUGUUGACAAUUGACAGACUUUUUUUUUCCCCCCAUCAGUUGAUUUUUCUUAUUUACAGAUACUUCUUUAGGAGAAGUAAAACAAUCAUCUAGAAUUCAUUGAGUUUUGUUUCACUUUGACAUUUGGGGAUCUGGUGGGCAGUCGAACCAUGGUGAGCUCCACCUCCGUGGAAUAAAUGGAGAUUCAGCGUGGGUAUUGAAUCCAGCACAUCUGUGUGAGUAACGGAACAGUAAACACUCCACAUUCUUCAGUUUUUCACUUUUACUUACUAUUUGUAUGUUUUUCUGUAUAACAGCCUUUUCCUUCUGAUUCUAACUACUGUUAAAAUUAAUAUGUCAUUAUCUUUGCUGUUAUUGACGGCAAUAUAAUUUUAUUACAUAUGAUUAGAGGGAUGAGACAGACAUUCACCUGUAUAUUUCUUUUAAUGGGCACAGAAUGGGCCUUUGACUCUAAAUAGCACUUUUUGGGGUUCAAGAAGUAAUCAGUAUGCAAAGCAGUCUUUUAUACAAUAAUUGAAGUGUUCCCUUUUUCAUAAUUACUCUACCUCCCAGUAACCCUAAGGAAGUUGCUAACUUAAAAAACCGCAUCCCAGAUUCUGUGAAUUUAGUACAUAAACAAGUCAAAGACUUGUGGAAAAUAGGAAGUGAACUCAUAUUUUAAAUUCUCAUAAGUAGCAUUCAUGUAAUAAACAGGUUUUUAGUUUGUUCUUCAGAUUGAUAGGUAGUUUUAAAGAAAUUUUAGUAGUUACUAAAAUUAUGUUACUUUAUUUUUCAGAAAUCAAACUACUUAUGAAAAUUACUAAUAGAACUUGUUAACCUUUCUAACCUUCACGAUUAACUGUGAAAUGUAUGCCAUUUGUGCAAGACCAUGUGUCCACUUCAUUUUGUAUAAUCACAGUUGUGUUCCUGACACU
rnacentral:sRNA from 1 species